rnacentral:lncRNA from 1 species
CUCAACAGAUCUCGGGAAUAGAGGCCAGAGACAAUCAACAAGAUUCGUACUAUCUUCAGAAGGUAUUUGAAUACCAGUUGUACUCCAGAUACAGAGAAACUGGAAAACAAAACAAAACAAAAAAUGAAUUCUGCAAUGUGGGGAUGAGAAGAGAGACAUGGAAGGCACUGGGGUCUGUGGGGCUUUGGGUAAGGCUGGGCUGGCUAAGGAGCCUUGGGGAUAAGAGGAUGCUGAGACCUGAGCAGAUGCUUAGCUUUUCCUCCCUGCAGUCACAAACAGACACCAUCCUGCACAUCUGGGACGCUAUGCGAAGUUCCUCUAUCGAAGCUGGCAUUUCCCAGGCAGACUGCAGCCUUCACCCAGCUCAGGCUCCUUACUCUUUGGAUGAAAAUCCUGAAAGCUUUUCUGCUUAGUUGGAUUCUCAGCGCUCCGCAGCUUGUUAUUCCCGGAUCAGAUCGAGCUAUUCAUUCGUUCCUUUGUUCCCUCUUUCAGUCAGGCAAGCAGGCAGCAAGAGCAGCGGUGCCAACAUGUUUGGAGUGACUCAGGACUGACUCAGGACAGCAGCGCCAUUCAAGGGUUCUGAGGAUCCACCGCCAGGGGCGGGAGAAGAAGCUUGCCCAGGUUCUUCCUUGUAUGGGUUUUGCUCGUUCUUCCUAUUUCUGUGAAGGACCUUACCUGAAUAGUAACAGCGAGCCUUGACUGUUUCUCUGAGGGACAUCUUAGACAGGGUGAGGGCAGCGCCCAGGGCAAGGCUGGCUCGAACUGAGGCAGCGUGCUCUACUAGCGAGAAUGGGAGUCUUUUCUGGGAAAAGAAAGCGAAAGUGGAGGUGGGUCCUUGGAUCGCCUAGAGGAGAAAGCCAAGCCCUGGGGUCAAGAGGAGACGCCCGGAAACCUGAAAGAGCAGGAAGAGCCCAGGUCCAAUCUGAGCCCCAGUCCAGGAGUUUCAUCAGAUCUGCCGGCUUCUCUGGCCCCUACCGCCAGUCCACAGAUUCUUCAAGUCACCCUGCAGCUAAGCAGAUCAAGCUCGCAGUACGAGGACCAGUCAGGGCAGGGGCGCUCUUAUACGCAAUGCAGGGCAGUCUGGGCUCCAGGUCCCUGGUUCAAAGGAGAGCCGGGCCUCAAAGGAGCAGGACUCGGUGUCUGGAGGAUACAAGAGGUGAUUUUCAUACAAAAGAGAAGCUACUUCAUGAACAGCCUGUGCAGUGUCAGAAGUAAUCAAGCAAGAAACUUUGGUUUCUGCCCUUGGGGAGCUUCCAGUCUUGAGAGCCAAUCACGCUAACAUACAAGCAGCUGGAGACACAAGCAUACAGAAGCUUCAACAAAAUACUACUGGAGGCUUGUAGAGAAUCAUUUCCAUCUGAGACAUUUGGGGAAGACUUCUUGGAAGAGGUGAAAAUUGUAAACGGAUAAAGAGAUUUCUACAGAUUUAGUGAGAGAGGGGACAUUUGGGGCACAGGGAAAGGUAUUGACAAAGAUAUAGAGAUGUGUAAGUAUAGGACUUGGACUCUUAGGAGGAAGAUUGACCCCUGCUCCCAAACAGGGGAAGAGGAAAUCUUCCUCAUUUAUGAACACUUUGGGUGGAAGGAGGCUAUGAAGGCUGAAGGACUUCUCUAAUGAAGAAAUAAGCCACAUUCUUGAUACUUGGGGCAAUUUAUUCACUCAGUUUAUCUGUAAACAAGGAAUCUCUUUGGUAAUGAAAUCAAUCAGGUAUUGCCACAUGGCAAAGGGAAAGAGAAGCCCUCAAAAGUCCAGAAGACUCACCUCUAAUUGAGGUCUGAGAGAGGCUCUAGAAAGGGAUAUCACAAAGUGCUUAAGUUUACAGAGAAGACAGGAAAUGGGCUUUUUUCCUCUACCUGACUCUGGGCUUGCUCAGAUAACAAAUGGCUGGAAACUCUGGGUAGAUGGCCACAGGCUCUUCCUCUCCCAGCUAGCCAGUCAGGUAGGACUUGAGCAUCUCUCUAUACUUUCAUCAUUUAAUAAAUAAGUUAUAAAAUGAAGAUCUGGUACA